UACGAGGGGGGCGAGCGUUGUUCGGAAUUAUUGGGCGUAAAGGGCAUGUAGGCGGUUACGUAAGCCCGGCGUAAAAUACCACGGCUUAACCGUGGGGCUGCGUUGGGAACCGCGUGACUUGAGUUACCGAGAGGAAACCAGAAUUCCAGGUGUAGGGGUGAAAUCUGUAGAUAUCUGGAAGAAUACCAGUGGCGAAGGCGGGUUUCUAGCGGAUGACUGACGCUGAGGUGCGAAAGCGUGGGGAGCAAAC
rnacentral:rRNA from 1 species